GACACUGAGGAAAGUCCCCUCUCCGCGAUGCAGGUGGUCCGGCGCAAGCCGGAGGUCCGGGAGGGCCGGCUCUGCAACAGAAACGAACCACGACAGGCGUACUAUGAACCCGAAAGGGGGAGGUUUCCUGAACGUGGCUGGAACGAGCACCCCCACCGGAGCAAGUCCAAGCAGGUCCGUAUGGCAUCGGCAGGACCGGGUAGGACGCAUAGUUGAAU
rnacentral:RNase_P_RNA from 2 species